rnacentral:rRNA from 1 species
UACGUAGGGUGCAAGCGUUGUCCGGAAUUAUUGGGCGUAAAGAGCUCGUAGGCGGUCUGUCGCGUCUGCUGUGAAAACUCAGGGCUUAACCCUGAGCUUGCAGUGGGUACGGGCAGACUAGAGUGCGGUAGGGGAGACUGGAAUUCCUGGUGUAGCGGUGAAAUGCGCAGAUAUCAGGAGGAACACCGGUGGCGAAGGCGGGUCUCUGGGCCGAUACUGACGCUGGAGGAGCG